GAAAGAACGUAGCGAAAUGCGAUAAGUAGUGUGAAUUGCAGAAUUCAGUGAAUCAUCGAAUCUUUGAACGCACAUUGCGCCCCUUGGUAUCCCGAGGGGCAUGCCUGUUCGAGCGUCAUUUCACCACUCAAGCCUGGCUUGGUGUUGGGCGACGUCCCCUUUGGGGACGCGCCUCGAAACGCUCGGCGGCGUGGCACCGGCUUUAAGCGUAGCAGAAUCUUUCGCUUUGGAAGUCGGGGCCCCGUCUGCCGGAAGACCUACUCGCAAGGUUGACCUCGGAUCAGGCAGGGAUACCCGCUGAACUUAAGCAUAUCAAUAAGCGGAGGA
rnacentral:misc_RNA from 1 species